UGUAACAACUUGAAUAUGCAACAUUCUUUAAGCUGACUGUGAUUCAGUUUAAUUGAUUUUAAGUAUUUGUUGCCAAAUGUAGGUUUAAAUGGAGGGGAUUCUAUUUUUAAAAGUGCUGCGCAGUAGUGGUGCUAGAUUUUCUAUAUAUAUACAUACACCCUUCAGACAUGCUGAUGUGUUAUUAAGUUUACUGUUAUUGUGUAUGUGAAAAAUGAUUUCUUUAAAUUUCUUUUAUCGCACAAUCAUACAAUUUUUUUUUUUUAUCAUUUUGGAUAUUUUAGCGUACGUUUACAAUUUUCAUUUUAUUGUACUAUGUUUAUGAUUUUGAAUUUUUUGUUAUGGAGGUUAUUAAUGCCAUGUGUGAAACAGUUUGCCAAUGCUUGGAGAGUCAGGAUUUUAAAAGCUUAAAGAGCACAUUUUUCUUCUCUUUUUUUUUUUUUUAAUUUUAGGGUUCAUACAUUAUUUUCCAUAUCUGAGUUGUACCUCUACAUGUAGGGUUGUGUAAGUUGAUUUUUUAUUAUGCUCUGCCUGCACAGAAAUUUCUCAAGUAUCUUUGGGUAAAGAAAAAAAAAAGGAGAAAUUUCAAAAACUGAUAAAUUCCCCUAUCCUGGAAGUUACAAAUAAGAUGGUAAUGAGUAUUAUAGACUAAUACAGUAAUGCUGGGCAUUUUUUGAUUUAGAUGUGUUAUAAUGACAAAAUUAUACAGCAAUGUACUACAGUAAUAAUCCUUGAUCAAAAGAAUUCAUGAGUGGCAAUUUUUAUUUUUUUAAAUGUUGAAUGCUUUGUGUACGUCAAGACUACACACGCAUAUAUGUUAUCCAAUAGUGUUUUUUUUUUAUUAUUAUUGCAGUGGUUUUUUGAGAAAAAAAAAUCAGUUUGUUAGUGUGCCAGAUUAUGAACACACUUAGCCUAAGUGUUUUGUUUGUUUACAUUUUAAAAAAAAAUUAUUUCACAGUAAAACUUGUCUAAUCCAGACACCACUGGUUCCUUAGAAAUUAAGCAAAUAGACAACACUCUGGAUUAAAAACCUUCUAUUAAGCAAUUAAAAAUAAUGAAAGGGAUUAAAAAUUUACAUCAUAGUGUCAAGAUUUCAGAAUACACAACAUUAGGACUAGACAAGUUCUACUGUAGGUGAAGUAUUUCCCUCUAACAGUUAAAAUCUAUACAGAAGGUAAAACCGGUUUAGGGACCCUGAACUUCAUGUUUUUAUUAACCAUCAGAAACCACUCUUACAAAUAUGUGUGAAGAGAAUUCAGUGUUUUGUGUAGGAAUUGAUAUUUUAUCCCCCAGUCAUGGCCAGUUUAAUUUCAUUUUUCUUCGUCACUGAAGCACUUUUUCUCUAAUCGUAUGUUGUAAAGCAGCUUAAGUUUUCACCCCAACCAUUCAAUCAUGCAUGAAUAUGAAACCCUUAUAGCAAUGAACAAAACUUUUUUUAAAACAAUUUUUAAAAAUGGGGAAAAAAAUGCAGACAUUUUUUAACCAUGAAUUUAGCAUGUAGUAAAUUGAACAAACAAGUUGAACAAAAAUCCUUCAGCAUUGUAAACAGGUCUUGUUGUAGACUAUAAUGAUUGUGUUCAGGUUAUUUAUAGAGUCAUGUUGUUUGUGAAGCCAUGUCCUAGACAUGAGUCUCUGUGUUCUCUUGUUAUAGUAGAUAGUUAUAGUAGUUGUUGAUAAUUAGAAUAAUUUAAUUGAUAGUGCUAUAUUUAAUUGCAUAUAUAUUCUUGCUUUUGUAUGAAUUGUGUCCCUCCCAACAGCCAGUCCCCCUCUCUGAAACCCCUUUAAGGGUAAAGGUCCUUUUCUACUCAAACUAUAACAUAUGAGGAAAAAUUGGAGUAAAAUCAUUGUUGAUAAAGAAUACUUUCAAAGAGUUGCCUCCCUUUGCAGAGAGGCAUUCCUCCUUAAAUGUAUUUUAAGAAGAGAUACAAAUCAGAAAACCCCUAUCCUUGCAAAUUAUACUUGCUUGUAAAGUGUUUCUUAGAGGACAACCUGUUUGUGUCAUUGGGGGUUGGGGUGAUGAGAAGGAAAAAUCCACAGAGUCUGCAUACUGAAUGAUUGUAUUAUGAGAAUUCUGAGGAAAACAAUAUGUAGACUUUAUGAAAGUUAUUUAUAAGUGGUUAAGACAUGUGCCCUUAUGUUUUCUUGAACUUUCAGUUGGUCCUUAAGAAGGGGCAGGAGAGGGGCACACAUCCUUAAACUGCGGUAAGGAGGCACAGGGGAGGGGCACACAUCCUUAAACUGUACUUGCUAAUUCCUUUUUCUUGAUCUCAUCCUUCCUCUGUGAUUUUAUGCAUUUAGACUGGGAUAUUGUUUUCUUAUCUUGUUUACAUUUGUGGGGGCCCCAGGGGGAUAUUGUAUUUUUAUCUUGUUUUAGGGUUAGUUCAUUCACUUGCAGGGGCCACAGGGGGGAACUUAACGAAUGGCAAGGAAACUUCUAAAAGGGAAAGUCUAAAAUGUACAGAAAAGUAAAAUGUAUUUGAAGAACACUACAAAUUUAUUUUUGAUUCUCAAAGUCUUUACUUUAAUAGGGUACUUCUUAAACAUGCACAAUAGAAAAACAUUAAAAAGAAAAAUAUUGAAGAAAAAAGUUGCUUCCAGAUAGAAUUUUGUAGACUUAAGUUUUAACAUUUUUUUUUUUUUGUUUUAUAAAUUUUAUCUUGCUUGUUUAAAGUGAUUUUCAAUAGAGUAAAAUUAUUUUUUGUUAUAUAUGAAGAAAUUUUUAUGAAGUCAUGUUUACCUGGUUUGGAUAUUUUUUUUUAAUUAGAGUUGACACGUCAUGUAUUGUCAUGAGGAAAACAAAGAACGUCGCUGGGGGUGGGGGUGGGGGUUUCAAGGUACAGACACUGUGUAGUACAAGAUUUCUAUUACAAUAUCCCAAACCGUUCAGUAAAUUAGAGUUUUAAUUUAUUAUUAUUUAUAACACAGAUAUAUAAUAUAAUUAUCUACAUAUGUAUUCUAUAGUGUAGUGAGUAAGUUGUUGUCAUCACAAUUUUGUAUUGUUUCAUUUGAUUUGUGUGUCCUGUUUUGCUGACAUGUUUUCUAUUUCUAUUUUAAAAAUCUGCAUUAUGAUUACAGUUAAACCUCGGUAUCUCAAACAUCGAUAUUUCAAAUACCAUGUUUAUUCUGAAGUGAGAUCCCAGCCACUUUUCCUUUACUUAUUUUAACCUUGUUAUCUCGAAUCUAUGCAUUGCUCGAGACUUGCGAGUUCGAGGUAACGAGGUUUAACUGUACUUGUUAAUUUAUGAAUAGAAAAUAUGUCAGAAAUCAUUUCCCCCGGCUUGUAACGACAGCUGUGUUCAGUAAACUAUUGGCUUCUUAAAACUCAACAAUGCAUGUGAAUAUUUCAAAUUUUAUAUAUACGUGUCAGAUAGCAACACAUUUCUAACAUAAAUAUAACAUCUUUGUUGAUUAAAUAUCUCUAACGUUCUCCAGUUAUUAUGAUUCUCUAGUGUAUUGUUUGCUGGUGUGUACUUGAUGAUGAUAUUUAAUGACAUCACUAACAAGUCUAUAAUUUAUUAUUACCAAUACAUAAUGUUAUAUGUGUAAAGCCUCUAUGCAACAAAUGAAAUAAGGUCCACGGACCCUCUGAUUAGAGAGAUAAUUCUAAUUGAGAUUAAAGUGUAUUAUUCCUUUAUAAAUUUUUCAACUUAAAAUGCCAUUUCUGUCAAAUUUUACCUUGCAAGGUGUAUUAAAAUUUAAUUAUAGAAAAGAUUUCUGAAAAAUUGUGUGAUAUAAAAUAAUAAAUUUAUAUGACAAUGAACCUUAAAGAAAACACAUGUUCUUGAAUGGUUCACUUGAAAUACUACACUCAAUGAAUUUUGGUGUAUCCUUCAAUUUAGAAAACGUGACUGGCUUGAGCGACAUUAUCGAGAGGGGUUUGUUUUUAUGCGUCUGAUUUUGUUUUUAUGUGUUUUCUCACUGUUUUAAUUCCGUCCAUUAGUUUCAAUUAUCAUUCGAUCACUUUCUGAAACAUAAAGUCAUAAGUAAGGUCAGUAUUUAUUAUUUAUUUUUAGUAAAGUAGGUAACGGAACUUCGUUUAGAGCUAAGUGUCUCUUUUUUGGAACCGGAAUUAUAGCUAACUUUAAAGGUGAACAAUAUUACAUGUCGAUGUUGUCUUCAUGAAGCCAUUUUUAAAUUUUAUAAGAGAUUUCUCUGUUAUUUAUCUAAUUGAACGAAGUUAAUUAGAAUCAAUUUUUAAUUUUUUUUUCUUUGAUUUUUAGCUUUUGAUAUGUAUUCUUGCUUAUGAGCUGUGUCAGUGUGUAGUUAUCUCCCUUUUUUGUACUUCUGUUUUAAAUGCAAUGCCUUUCCUGCAUAACUCUUGACAAAUAAAAAUUAAAUACAUCAUUU